rnacentral:misc_RNA from 1 species
GAUGAAGAACGUAGCAAAAUGCGAUAAGUAAUGUGAAUUGCAGAAUUCAGUGAAUCAUCGAAUCUUUGAACGCACAUUGCGCCCGCUGGUAUUCCGGCGGGCAUGCCUGUUCGAGUGUCAUUUCAACCCUCAAGCCCCCGGGUUUGGUGUUGGGGAUCGGCUCUGCCUUCUGGCGGUGCCGCCCCCGAAAUACAUUGGCGGUCUCGCUGCAGCCUCCAUUGCGUAGUAGCUAACACCUCGCAACUGGAACGCGGCGCGGCCAUGCCGUAAAACCCCAACUUCUGAAUGUUGACCUCGGAUCAGGUAGGAAUACCCGCUGAACUUAAGCAUAUCAAUAAGCGGAGGA